rnacentral:rRNA from 1 species
GACGAACGCUGGCGGCGUGCCUAACACAUGCAAGUCGAACGGAAAACAUAGCAAUAUGUUUUUAGUGGCGAACGGGUGAGUAACGCGUAGACAACCAACCUUUUUGUGGGGGACAACACUUCGAAAGGAGUGCUAAUACCGCAUACGCUCCAGAUGCCGCCUGGUGUUUGGAGGAAAGGAGCUUUACGGCUUCGCAAAAAGACGGGUCUGCGUCUGAUUAGCUUGUUGGAGGGGUAACGGCCCACCAAGGCGACGAUCAGUAGCCGGUCUGAGAGGAUGGACGGCCACACUGGGACUGAGACACGGCCCAGACUCCUACGGGAGGCAGCAGUGGGGAAUCUUCCGCAAUGGACGAAAGUCUGACGGAGCGACGCCGCGUGAGUGAUGAAGGCCCUUGGGUCGUAAAGCUCUGUCAUCAGGGACGAACGGUCACGUCAGGAAAUGGGCGUGAAUUGACGGUACCUGAGAAGGAAGCCACGGCUAACUACGUGCCAGCAGCCGCGGGA